UAAUAAUAUUUGCUGUUCCGAAGACAGCAGGUGCGCGAAAGCGCGUAAUGGGUGACCGCCUGCCGAGGAAGACGCAUAAAAGUUCUGUUCAAAUUGGGAUUUUUUGCUCUUCUGCGGUUUUGCGGAAGAGCAAAUUUAUUAU
rnacentral:sRNA from 1 species